GACGAACGCUGGCGGCGCGCUUAACACAUGCAAGUCGAACGGAAAGGCCUGCUUUCCCUUGUGGAUUGCGGGUACUCGAGUGGCGAACGGGUGAGUAACACGUGAGUGAUCUGCCCCCAACUUGGGUAUAAGCCUGGGAAACUGGGUCUAAUUCCCGAUAGGACUGCAGGGUGGUGCCUGUGGUGGAAAACGAUUUUCUAGUGGUUGGGGAUGAGCUCGCGGCCUAUCAGCUUGUUGGUGGGGUAAUGGCCUACCAAGGCGGCGACGGGUAGCCGGCCUGAGAGGGUGGACGGCCACAUUGGGACUGAGAUACGGCCCAGACUCCUACGGGAGGCAGCAGUGGGGAAUAGUGCAAGAUGGGCGGAAGCCUGAUGCAGCGACGCCGCGUGGGGGAUGACGGCCUUCGGGUUGUAAACUCCUUUCGACCGCGAGGAAGCCACCUGGUUGGAAGGGUGGUGACGGUAGUGGUAGAAGAAGCACCGGCUAACUACGUG
rnacentral:rRNA from 1 species